GAGCCAUGGCGAUUGGCUUACGGAUGGGCACAUGACCCGGGCAGGGCCAAUCAGAUUCUCUCUCAUCACGAGCCGGAAGACAAUACGGCUGGUCUGUUGGCGGCCUUUCUGCUGCAGCGCGGGCAGAGACUGCCUGAGAAUGAAGCCAACCUAGAGGAAUGGGGAGCGGAGAGAGGGAGGCCGAUAGAAAGGGGGUGCUCUGGGCCCCUCAAGGACAGCCCCCCGCUUCGGACGUCCCAGUCGUGAAAGCGCAUGCACCCCUGUGCGGGGUUCCGUCAUUGCUCCCAGGCUCUGUGCUGAGCUCAUCAGGUGCAUCGUGACUAAUGAGUCUCACGACCGCCCUAAGGGGUAGAUAUUCGGAUGUUUCCUGCUUUCGGAUGAGAAGAGACCGAGACUGAAAGUGAGACCCGAGCGGGGAGCCCAGCCUCGCGCUGUGGACAUGUGUGAACCCUGCCUCCCCGGCCCGGCCCCCUGCUGCCCAGCAGAGGCAUUCAGGUGUUUGUUGAGUGCUCGUCCUGGCCGUUGGGAGUUGAGUUCAGCUUCCCUUCCUUCUCUGGAAUUUGUGUGUGGGCACUGGAUGUGCCUGAGCCCGCCUGAGCCCUUUGCCUCCUGCCCCUGGGCAUUUGCAGAGCAGAGCCCCUCUGCCGCGGUACUUCGUGGUGGGACUGGACGUCCCGCAGCCAAGCCUUGGACGCUCCAGCAAGAUUGCAUUUCCAGACACUUAAAAACAUUCCCUGAAUGAUCUCUGUGAACUUUCCAGAGUUUGAAGUGGGCUGGACCACCUUAAAGUUAGCUCAGAGAGAAAACCUUUUGUACGGAGCCUUUGGAUUUCUUGUUCCCCUUUAGAAGCGAUGUUCUUGUUUGAUGGGAACAGAGACAGUCCUGUAACACGCAGGUCAAGCUGUUCUUUGGGAAAUUUUAAAAGAGGCUGGAGGUGUGUUCUGAAGAAAGCAAAUAAGUCCAGAUUCUUGUCCCCAUGUGGUAAACUCUGAGCAGUUUGGAGAAGAUCAGAAACUCCUACGUUUGUUCCUUGGCCCAGGAGAGUUCAAAGCCACAGCUGGCAAAGGUGAUCUGAUCUCCAAAAACAUCCAUCAGAAAAUUGGGGUGGGCUUGCUCCGUCAGCGGGGGCCAGGUGGGGGCUGGGGAACCCACUUUUCUCUGCUUCCAUUCAGCCAUGCCGCCCCCUCCCCUCUUAGUUCAGUGAGGUCUAGGGAGGGCCAGGGAGGCAGAGCUGGCCCACGUGGAGAUUGUAGAAGGCCAGGUGCCUGGGGGGGAGAGGGGCGUGGGCUGCUCUCUGGUGGACAGUGUAAGUCCUUGUCCCUCGGCUGUUUUCUCCUUUUCUCAAGGCCCUGUGUCUGUGUCCAAAGGCAGGCAGCUCGCCUACUGCUGAGGGUCAGAGGGAGCCUACCCUGAACGAGCCUCUUCUCUUGGCCUCUCUCUUCCUUCCAUCACUUGCGUGGGUGUGAUGAGUUCACAGGCCAGUGUUUGUGUCCUGAGAGAGCUGGCAGCCAAGGGCUGUGGUUUCUACAGAGGAUCAAGAUUUCUGGGGCAGACAGCCGUGGGCCUCGACCCCUGCCUUUGGGGUCCCCACAGCAGACAUUGAGCCAAGGACAUGAGUGUGAACGAUUGAUGGGGAAGCAAACCGUGGAAAGUGUCACAGAGAAGGGGACGUGACAGGCCUGGGAAGGCUGUAGGGUUGAGGUUGAGUCCCCUGGGGCGUCUGGAGCUUGUGAGGUGCAGAUCCUGGCCCAGCAGGUCAGGGGCAGCGUGAAUUCCUCAUCUCUAGCAAACUCCCAGCUGAAGCAAAUGCUGCUGGUCCACAGUCCACACAGGAGAACACAUUUCUGAGCUCCACCAGCUGAAGGGGUUGACUUGUGUCCCCCAAAAGAUAUGCUGAAGUCCUAACCCGAUAUCCGUCAGUGUGACUGUAUUGGAAAUAGAGUCUUCGCCAAUGAAAUCGGGUUGAGACUAGGACAUAGUGGGUUUGGGUGGACCCUAAUCUAAUGACUGGGGUCCCUAAAAAAGAAGAAAAGAGACAGAGGGACGAGGGAAGAAGGCCAUGUGGAGACAGCGCAGAGGUUGGAGCAGAGAUUGGAACACCUGGAGCUAUGGGAAGCUGAAGAGGCAGGAGGGAUCCCCCGCCUGGAGCCUGCAGAGAGCGUGGUCCUGCCCACACCUUGAUUUCAGACUCCUGGCCUCCAGAAGGUGAAAGAAUAGAGUUCUGCUAUUUAAACACCCCCAGUUUGUGGGACUUUGUUACAGCCGAUCCAGGAGCCUAAUACAGCAGCCAGGGGGUGAGGGAGCCGGUCCCAGGGGCCUCAGCGUCCCAGCACUUCCAGCCUGACCUGAGGAUUGGCAGAGGGAGCAGGUGCACGCACGGUUGGCUCCCUGGAAGCAGUCAGUGCCGAGGCAAGGCAGGUGCACGUUUGGAAAGGUGGGCCCCUCGGGUAAAAUCGGGAACGAGGGUGAGCCGACCUUUAAGGAGCCGAGAUUCCAGCCUGGCUGGUCUGAGCCCAGUGCCCAGGCUCCUCGUGCCGUGCCCAGCUGCCCCCCACAGAGUGCCCUUGCUCCUGCACCUGUGGCCGCAGGUCAGGGACGCGGUGAAACAUCCCAUGGUGGAUGGCCACCCAUAACACGGUGUCACCCCAAGUGUCGAGAGUGCCAAGGUGGAAACCCUCUAGUGGAGGGACCCGCCAUGGCUUCGGAUGGCCGAUCCCACUCGACGUCUUCAGUUGGUCCAGCAGGCCGGACAUGACCAAGUAUUGGGUUCACCGACAGAAGGAUCGUAGGCUUUAUAAGAAAGAAAGGACAAGGGACGGGUGUUCUUGCUGUGGACCGGACGUGCCGUCUACCUGUGUUGAGAUACAGAAAUGCUGCAGUUCAGCCACAAAGACCACAUGCUGUCUAAUUCCAUUUACUGUGGAAUUCCCAGCACGGGCAGGUCCAUGGAGACUUAGUGACAGCCAGGGACUGGGCGUGAGCACGAGGAGGUUGGGCAGCUGCCAGGGCACUGGGCAGUGAGCCCCAUGCAGCCCCCAGAAGGCAGACAGCAAGGAUGCCAGAGCUGGGGAUUUGUCUUAAGUUGCGUUCAUCUUCGGAUUUUCCUUCUUUCUUUUGUGUUCUAGGCUUUCUGUUACGCAGUUUAUAUUACAUUAUGUUUUUAUGA